AGCGAACGCUGGCGGCAGGCUUAACACAUGCAAGUCGAGCGCCGUAGCAAUACGGAGCGGCAGACGGGAGAGUAACACGUGGGAACGUACCCCUUGGUUCGGAAUAACUCAGGGAAACUUGAGCUAAUACCGGAUACGUCGGCAACGAGAAAGAUUUAUCGCCGAGGGAUCGGCCCGCGCCCGAUUAGCUAGUUGGUGUGGUAAUGGCGCACCAAGGCGACGAUCGGUAGCUGGUCUGAGAGGAUGAUCAGCCUCACUGGGACUGAGACACGGCCCAGACUCCUACGGGAGGCAGCAGUGGGGAAUAUUGGACAAUGGGCGCAAGCCUGAUCCAGCCAUGCCGCGUGGGUGAUGAAGGCCUUAGGGUUGUAAAGCCCUUUCGGCGGGGAAGAUAAUGGCGGUACCCGCAGAAGAAGCCCCGGCUAACUUCGCGCCAGCCGCCGCCGUAAGAC
rnacentral:rRNA from 1 species